CAGUAGCCACUGGAAAACGAAGGGUGCAAGCGUUACUCGGAAUUACUGGGCGUAAAGCGUGUGUAGGUGGUUGUUUAAGUCUGUCGUGAAAGCCCUGGGCUCAACCUGGGAAUUGCGAUGGAUACUGGGCGACUAGAGUGCGGUAGAGGAUAGUGGAAUUUCCGGUGUAGCAGUGAAAUGCGUAGAGAUCGGAAGGAACAUCUGUGGCGAAGGCGACUAUCUGGGCCAACACUGACACUGAGACACGAAAGCGUGGGGAGCACACAGGAUUAGAUACCCCCGUAGUCCCUGUCUCUUAUAC
rnacentral:rRNA from 1 species